GACGAACGCUGGCGGCGUGCUUAACACAUGCAAGUCGAACGGAAAGGCCCUGCUUUUGUGGGGUGCUCGAGUGGCGAACGGGUGAGUAACACGUGAGUAACCUGCCCUUGACUUUGGGAUAACUUCAGGAAACUGGGGCUAAUACCGGAUAGGAGCUCCUGCUGCAUGGUGGGGGUUGGAAAGUUUCGGCGGUUGGGGAUGGACUCGCGGCUUAUCAGCUUGUUGGUGGGGUAGUGGCUUACCAAGGCUUUGACGGGUAGCCGGCCUGAGAGGGUGGCCGGCGACAUUGGGACUGAGAUACGGCGCAGACUCCUACGGGAGGCAGCAGUGGGGAAGAUGGCACAAUGGGGGGAAGCCUGAUGCAGCAACGCCGCGUGCGGGAUGACGGCCUUCGGGUUGUAAACCGCUUUCGCCUGUGACGAAGCGUGAGUGACGGUAAUGGGUAAAGAAGCACCGGCUAACUACGUG
rnacentral:rRNA from 1 species